rnacentral:rRNA from 1 species
GAUGAACGCUGGCGGCGUGCCUAAUACAUGCAAGUCGAGCGAACGGACGAGAAUCUUGCUGCUCGGAUGUUAGCGGCGGACGGGUGAGUAACACGUGUAUAACCUACCUAUAAGACUGGGAUAACUUCGGGAAGCCGGAGCUAAUACCGGGUAAUAUUUUGAACCGCAUGGUUCAAGAGUGAAAUACGGGCUUGCUGUUACUUAUAGGUGGAUCCGCGCUGCAGUAGAGGGUUUGUAAGGUAAUGGCUUACCAAGGCAACGAGGGAUAGCCGACCUGAGAGGGGGAUAGGCCACACUGGAACUGAGACACGGUCCAGACUCCUAAGGGACGCAGCAGUAGGCAACCUUACGCAAUGGGCGAAAGCCUGACGGAGCGACGCCGCGUGAGUGACAAAGGUCUUCGGAUCGUAAAGCUCUGUUAUGAGGGAAGAACAUAUGUGUAAGUAACUGUGCACAUCUUGACGGUAACUAAUCAGAAAGCCACGGCUAACUACGUG